CCCUUAGAUGUUCUGGGCCGCACGCGCGCUACACUGAUACAUGCAACGAGUUUAUAACCUUGAUCUGACGGUCUGGGUAAUCUUCAAACUGUAUCGUGUUAGGGAUCGAUUCUUGCAAUUUUUAAUCGUAAACGAGGAAUUCCUAGUAAACGCAAGUCAUCAGCUUGCAUUGAUUACGUCCCUGCCCUUUGUACACACCGCCCGUCGACUCUACCGAUUGAAUGGUUCGGUGAAAACUUUGGACUAUGGCAUUGUCCUUCAUUGGACUUCGCCGUAGGAAAUUGUUUAAACCUCAUCAUUUAGAGGAAGAAUAAGUCGUAACA
rnacentral:rRNA from 1 species